AACGAACGCUGGCGGCGCGUCUUAAGCAUGCAAGUCGAACGGUAAGGGAGAGCUUGCUCUCCCCUAGAGUGGCGGACUGGUGAGUAACGCGUGGGUGACCUGCCCUGAAGAUGGGGAUAGCUAGUAGAAAUAUUAGAUAAUACCGAAUGUGCUCAUUUACAUAAAGGUGAAUGAGGAAAGGAGCUACGGCUCCGCUUCAGGAUGGGCCCGCGUCCCAUUAGCUAGUUGGUGAGGUAAAGGCCCACCAAGGCAACGAUGGGUAUCCGGCCUGAGAGGGUGAACGGACACAUUGGGACUGAGAUACGGCCCAAACUCCUACGGGAGGCAGCAGCUAAGAAUCUUCCGCAAUGGACGAAAGUCUGACGGAGCGACGCCGUGUGAAUGAAGAAGGCCGAAAGGUUGUAAAAUUCUUUUGCAGAUGAAGAAUAAGAAGAAGAGGGAAUGCUUCUUUGAUGACGGUAGUCAUGCGAAUAAGCCCCGGCUAAUUACGUGCCAGCAGCCGCGGUAACACGUAAGGGGCGAGCGUUGUUCGGAAUUAUUGGGCGUAAAGGGUAUGUAGGCGGUUAGGUAAGCCUGGUGUGAAAUCUACGAGCUCAACUCGUAAACUGCAUUGGGUACUGCUUGACUUGAAUCACGGAGGGGAAACCGGAAUUCCAAGUGUAGGGGUGGAAUCUGUAGAUAUUUGGAAGAACACCGGUGGCGAAGGCGGGUUUCUGGCCGAUGAUUGACGCUGAUAUACGAAGGUGCGGGGAGCAAACAGG
rnacentral:rRNA from 1 species